GAUGAACGCUGACAGAAUGCUUAACACAUGCAAGUCUACUUGAACUUCGGUUUGGGUGGCGGACGGGUGAGUAACGCGUAAAGAACUUGCCUCACAGUUAGGGACAACAUUUGGAAACGAAUGCUAAUACCUGAUAUUAUGAUUUUAGGGCAUCCUAAGAUUAUGAAAGCUAUAUGCGCUGUGAGAGAGCUUUGCGUCCCAUUAGCUAGUUGGAGAGGUAACGGCUCACCAAGGCGAUGAUGGGUAGCCGGCCUGAGAGGGUGAACGGCCACAAGGGGACUGAGACACGGCCCUUACUCCUACGGGAGGCAGCAGUGGGGAAUAUUGGACAAUGGACCAAAAGUCUGAUCCAGCAAUUCUGUGUGCACGAUGACGUUUUUCGGAAUGUAAAGUGCUUUCAGUUGGGAAGAAAAAAUGACGGUACCAACAGAAGAAGUGACGGCUAAAUACGUGCCAGCAGCCGCGGUAAUACGUAUGUCACAAGCGUUAUCCGGAUUUAUUGGGCGUAAAGCGCGUCUAGGUGGUUAUGUAAGUCUGAUGUGAAAAUGCAGGGCUCAACUCUGUAUUGCGUUGGAAACUGCAUGACUAGAGUACUGGAGAGGUAAGCGGAACUACAAGUGUAGAGGUGAAAUUCGUAGAUAUUUGUAGGAAUGCCGAUGGGGAAGCCAGCUUACUGGACAGAUACUGACGCUAAAGCGCGAAAGCGUGUGUAGCAAACAUG
rnacentral:rRNA from 1 species